rnacentral:rRNA from 1 species
GUGCGGCCGAACUCCGGUUGAUCCUGCCGGACCCGACCGCUAUCGGGGUGGGACUAAGCCAUGGGAGUCGUGCGCCCCCGGGAAUGCGGGGGCGCGGCGGACGGCUGAGUAACACGUGGCUAACCUACCCUUGGGACGGGGAUAACCCCGGGAAACUGGGGCUAAUCCCCGAUAGGCGAGGGGGCCUGGAAUGGUCCCUCGCCGAAAGGGUGUACGGGGCAUCCCCCCGUACGCCGCCCGAGGAUGGGGCUGCGGCCCAUCAGGUAGUUGGCGGGGUAACGGCCCGCCAAGCCGAUAACGGGUAGGGGCCGUGAGAGCGGGAGCCCCCAGAUGGG